rnacentral:rRNA from 1 species
CUCUCGCAUCGAUGAAGAACGCAGCGAAAUGCGAUAAGUAAUGUGAAUUGCAGAAUUCAGUGAAUCAUCGAAUCUUUGAACGCACCUUGCGCCCCUUGGUAUUCCGAGGGGCAUGCCUGUUUGAGUGUCAU